AUUGAACGCUGGCGGCAGGCCUAACACAUGCCAGUCGAACGGUAACAGGAAACAGCUUGCUGUUUCGCUGACGAGUGGCGGACGGGUGAGUAAUGUCUGGGAAACUGCCUGAUGGAGGGGGAUAACUACUGGAAACGGUAGCUAAUACCGCAUAACGUCGCAAGACCAAAGAGGGGGACCUUCGGGCCUCUUGCCAUCGGAUGUGCCCAGAUGGGAUUAGCUAGUAGGUGGGGUAACGGCUCACCUAGGCGACGAUCCCUAGCUGGUCUGAGAGGAUGACCGGCCACACGGGAACUGGGACACGGUCCAGACUCCUACGGGAGGCAGCAGUGGGGAAUGUUGCACAAUGGGCGCAAGCCUGAUGCAGCCAUGCCGCGUGUGUGAAGAAGGCCUUCGGGUUGUAAAGUACUUUCAGCGGGGAGGAAGGGAGUAAAGUUAAUACCUUUGCUCAUUGACGUUACCCGCAGAAGAAGCACCGGCUAACUCCGUG
rnacentral:rRNA from 1 species